rnacentral:rRNA from 1 species
UACGGAGGGAGCUAGCGUUGUUCGGAUUUACUGGGCGUAAAGCGCACGUAGGCGGCAUAGUAAGUCAGGGGUGAAAUCCCGGGGCUCAACCCCGGAACUGCCCUUGAAACUGCUAAGCUUGAAUCUUGGAGAGGCGAGUGGAAUUCCGAGUGUAGAGGUGAAAUUCGUAGAUAUUCGGAAGAACACCGGUGGCGAAGGCGGCAUCCUGGACCGGUAUUGACGCUGAGGCGCGAAAGCCAGGGGAGCAAACGGG